rnacentral:rRNA from 1 species
GACGAACGCUGGCGGCGUGCUUAACACAUGCAAGUCGAACGGAAAGGCCCUGCUUUUGUGGGGUGCUCGAGUGGCGAACGGGUGAGUAACACGUGAGUAACCUGCCCUUGACUUUGGGAUAACUUCAGGAAACUGGGGCUAAUACCGGAUAGGAGCUCCUGCUGCAUGGUGGGGGUUGGAAAGUUUCGGCGGUUGGGGAUGGACUCGCGGCUUAUCAGCUUGUUGGUGGGGUAGUGGCUUACCAAGGCUUUGACGGGUAGCCGGCCUGAGAGGGUGACCGGCCACAUUGGGACGGAGAUACGGCCCAGACUCCUACGGGAGGCAGCAGUGGGGAAUAUUGCACAAUGGGCGGAAGCCUGAUGCAGCAACGCCGCGUGCGGGAUGACGGCCUUCGGGGUGUAAACCGCUUUCGCCUGUGACGAAGCGUGAGUGACGGUAAUGGGUAAAGAAGCACCGGCUAACUACG